GAUUAUGGCUCAGGAUGAACGCUAGCGACAGGCUUAACACAUGCAAGUCGAGGGGCAGCAUAGAAGUAGCAAUACUUGGUGGCGACCGGCGCACGGGUGAGUAACGCGUAUGCAACCUACCUAUCAGAGGGAAUAACCGGCGAAAGUCGGACUAAUACCGCAUAAAACAGGGGCACCGCAUGGUGAUAUUUGUUAAAGAAAUUCGCUGAUAGAUGGGCAUGCGUUCCAUUAGGUAGUUGGUGAGGUAACGGCUCACCAAGCCGACGAUGGAUAGGGGAACUGAGAGGUUGGUCCCCCACACUGGUACUGAGACACGGACCAGACUCCUACGGGAGGCAGCAGUGAGGAAUAUUGGUCAAUGGGCGGGAGCCUGAACCAGCCAAGUCGCGUGAAGGAAGAAGGAUCUAUGGUUCGUAAACUUCUUUUGCAGGGGAAUAAAGUGCAGGACGUGUCCUGUUUUGUAUGUACCCUGAGAAUAAGGAUCGGCUAACUCCGUGCCAGCCGCAGC
rnacentral:rRNA from 1 species